rnacentral:rRNA from 1 species
UACAGAGGGUGCGAACGUUGCUCGGAAUCACUGGGCGUAAAGCGCGUGUAGGCGGAUCAGAAAGUCAGGUGUGAAAUCCCUGGGCUCAACCUAGGAACUGCAUCUGAAACUUCUGGUCUGGAGUGUCGGAGAGGGAAGCGGAAUUCCGGGUGUAGAGGUGAAAUUCGUAGAUAUCCGGAGGAACACCGGUGGCGAAGGCGGCUUCCUGGACGAUUACUGACGCUGAGACACGAAAGCGUGGGGAGCAAACAGG